rnacentral:rRNA from 1 species
UACGAAGGGGGCUAGCGUUGCUCGGAAUCACUGGGCGUAAAGCGCACGUAGGCGGAUUGCUAAGUCAGGGGUGAAAUCCUGGAGCUCAACUCCAGAACUGCCUUUGAUACUGGCGAUCUUGAGUCCGGGAGAGGUGAGUGGAACUGCGAGUGUAGAGGUGAAAUUCGUAGAUAUUCGCAAGAACACCAGUGGCGAAGGCGGCUCACUGGCCCGGUACUGACGCUGAGGUGCGAAAGCGUGGGGAGCAA